rnacentral:rRNA from 1 species
UACGGAAGGUGCGAGCGUUAAUCGGAAUUACUGGGCGUAAAACGCACGUAGGUGGUUUUAUAAGUCGGAUGUGAAAGCCCCGGGCUUAACCUGGGAAUUGCAUCCGAGACUGUCUGACUUGAGUAUGCUAGAGGGAAGUGGAAUUCCAGGUGUAGCGGUGAAAUGCGUAGAUAUCUGGAGGAACACCAAUGGCGAAGGCAACUUCCUGGGGCAAUACUGACACUGAUGUGCGAAAGCGUGGGGAGCAAACAGG